CAACAAACAAUGGAACUAACGAAAAGAAGAAAAUUGGAUAAUUUCACAGCCGAACAUGAUACUACAUCUUUAGACUACAUCGAACUGCAAAAUAUGGAAAUGGAAUCUCCGAUUUCAUCAACCACUGACAUUCAAAGUAACGAUGAGGCGACCGGC